rnacentral:rRNA from 1 species
AUUGAACGCUGGCGGUAUGCUUAACACAUGCAAGUCGAACGGCAGCAUGGUCUAGCUUGCUAGGCUGAUGGCGAGUGGCGGACGGGUGAGUAACGCGUAGGAAUAUGCCUUGAAGAGUGGGACAACUUGGGGAAACUCAAGCUAAUACCGCAUGUACUCGAGAGAGUAAAGCUGGGGACCUUUAGGCCUGGCGCUUUAAGAUUAGCCUGCGUCCGAUUAGCUAGUUGGUAGGGUAAAGGCCUACCAAGGCGACGAUCGGUAGCUGGUCUGAGAGGAGGAUCAGCCACACUGGAACUGAGAGACGGUCCAGACUCCAACGGGAGGCAGCAGUUGGGAAUAUUGGACAAUGGGGGGAACCCUGAUCCAACAAUGCCGCGUGUGUGAAGAAGGCCUGAGGGUUGUAAAGCACUUUCAGUGGGGGGGAGGUUUGGAAGGUUAAGAGCUAUUCAAAUGGACGUUACCCACAGAAGAAGCACCGGCUAACUCCGUGCCAGCAGCCGCCGUAA